GACCCCGUAGCUCAGCUGGACCAGAGCAAGUGCCUUCUAAGCACUAGGUCGCAGGUUCGAAUCCUGCCGGGGUCGCCA
rnacentral:tRNA from 1 species